CUGGACGACCCUUCGGGGAGCUUUGUACGGGUGCUGCAUGGCUGUCGUCAGCUCGUGUCGUGAGAUGUUCCGGUUAAAGUCCGCUAACGAGCGCAACCCUCGCUGUGUGUUACAAGUGUCACACGGAACUGCCGGUCAUAAACCGGAGGAAGGUGGGAUGACGUCAAGUCAGCAUGGCCUUUAUAUCCUGGGCUACACACACGCUACAAUGGGAAGGGACAAUAGGUUGCGAAGCCGCGAGGCGGAGCCAAUCCAGCAAAACUUCCCUCAGUUCAGAUUGCAGGCUGCAACUCGCCUGCAUGAAGUUGGAGUUGCUAGUAAACGCAGGUCAGCCAUACUGCGUUGAAUACGUUCCCGGGGCUU
rnacentral:rRNA from 1 species